rnacentral:rRNA from 1 species
GAUGAACGCUAGCGGCAGGCCUAAUACAUGCAAGACGAACGGUAAGUUGAGUAGCAAUACUUAGCCAAGAGUGUCGUACGGGUGCGUAACACGUAUGCAACCUACCCUAUACAGGAGGAUAGCCUAGGGAAACCUGGAUUAACCCUUCAUAGUAUUAUUGGAUGGCAUCAUUUGAUAAUUAAAACUGAGGUGGUAUAGGAUGGGCAUGCGUCUGAUUAGUUAGUUGGCGGGUAAUGGCCCACCAAGACGAUGAUCAGUAGGGGUUCUGAGAGGAAGAUCCCCCACACUGGCACUGAGAUACGGGCCAGACUCCUACGGGAGGCAGCAGUAGGGAAUAUUGGUCAAUGGAUGCAAGUCUGAACCAGCCAUGCCGCGUGCAGGAAGAAGGCCCUUUCUGGGGGUUGUAAAACUGCUUUUGCCAGGGGAUAAAAUUUCCAUGCGUGGAAAACUGAAGGUACCUGGUGAAUAAGCCACGGCUAACUACGUGCCAGCAGCCG